rnacentral:rRNA from 1 species
UGUCUAUUAAUUGUAGACCAGUAUGAAAGGCAACAUGAGGGCCUAACUGUCUCUUGUAAUAAUCAAUUAAACUGAUCUUCUAGUAAAAAAGCUAGAAUUCCACCAUAAGACCAGAAGACCCUGUGAAGCUUAAACUAAACUAUUAAAACAUAUAAUAACUACUUUCGGUUGGGGCGACCCUGGAAAAAAAAGAACUUCCAACAAUGGCCCACAAGCCCCAGACCCAGCACGCUGAUCGUUGAACCAAGUUACUCCAGGGAUAACAGCGCUAUCUUCUUCAAGAGCCCAUAUCAAAAAGAAGGUUUACGACCUCGAUGUUGGAUCAGGACAUCCUAA